CCUACGGGUGGCAGCAGUGAGGGAUAUUGGUCAAUGGGGGAAACUCUGAACCAGCAACGCCGCGUGAGGGAAGACGGUUUUCGGAUUGUAAAACUCUGUCCACUGUGAAGAUAAUGACGGUAGCAGAGGAGGAAGCUCCGGCUAACUACGUGCAAGGAGCCGCGGUAAUACGUAGGGAGCGAGCGUUGUCCGUAUUUACUGGGUGUAAAGGGUGCGUAGGCGGCUCUGCAAGUCAGAAGUGAAAGCCAUUGGCUUAACCCGUGAACUGCGUUUGAAACUGGAGGGCUUGAGUGAAGUAGCGGCAGGCGGAAUUCCCGGUGUAGCGGUGAAAUGCGUAGAGAUCGGGAGGAACACCGGUGGCGAAGGCGGGCUGCUGGGCUUUAACUGACGCUGAAGCUCGAAAGUGUGGGUAGCAAACAGGAUUAGAUACCCUGGUAGUC
rnacentral:rRNA from 1 species